rnacentral:rRNA from 1 species
CAGCCGCCACGGUAAAACGUAGGGUGCGAGCGUUAAUCGGUAUUACUGGGCGUAAAGCGUGCGCAGGCGGUUCGUUAAGACAGAUGUGAAAUCCCCGGGCUUAACCUGGGAACUGCAUUUGUGACUGGCGAGCUAGAGUAUGGCAGAGGGGGGUAGAAUUCCACGUGUAGCAGUGAAAUGCGUAGAGAUGUGGAGGAAUACCGAUGGCGAAGGCAGCCCCCUGGGCCAAUACUGACGCUCAUGCACGAAAGCUAGGGGAGCAAACAGGAUUAGAUACCCGCGUAGUCCCUGUCUCUUAUAC